UACAGAGGUCUCAAGCGUUGUUCGGAUUCAUUGGGCGUAAAGGGUGCGUAGGCGGCGCGGUAAGUCGGGUGUGAAAUCUCGGAGCUUAACUCCGAAACUGCAUUCGAUACUGCCGUGCUUGAGGACUGGAGAGGAGACUGGAAUUUACGGUGUAGCGGUGAAAUGCGUAGAUAUCGUAAGGAAGACCAGUGGCGAAGGCGGGUCUCUGGACAGUUCCUGACGCUGAGGCAGGAAGGCCAGGGGAGCAAACGGG
rnacentral:rRNA from 1 species